ACAUAUAUUAUAACUAUAUUUGUAAUGUAUUUCAUAACGCACGGAGCCGGAAGUAACGCAGUUGUGCAGUCUAUUAUAUUCCGCGAUAGAACUAACAACUGUUUGACUGCGACUUUUGCGGUUUUGUUUGUUUAUACGAGGACUGUAUAUUUAAUCCAGCAGCAUGAAACAGUCCAAACUAUCCACUGGAAAGCGUCUUACAAAACCGCUUCUUUUUGGGACACUGCUUGUUGGUUUGGCCGCAGCAUUUUUUAAUAGGCAUUUGUUCAUGGACGACCUGGCAGAUCUCAGGGAGCAGGAGAGGAUCCGUAAUGAGGCCAAACGGAUGGAGGUGCUGGAGAGGAGGCAGAGACAAAUGGAUGAUCUUGCAGAGAAGAAAAGUGCAGGGGGAAGUUGAGAUUGAAUGGACACCUGCAACAAACCAGUGCUGAAGAAGCAAACAUGGGACAUUUUUUGCCAACAAGUUUUUGAGUGUUAUAAAACUGUGACUGUUCUGUUAUUGCUAAAUUGGAAUAGAAGUUGCAUGGAAAGUCUAUAGGCGAUAUAGAAAGCAAGUAAAAUGUAGGUUAGUUAGAUCAUCAUUAAUUGUAACAGUUUGAUUUGCUCCUUACGAGGAUUAUAUUUCACACAAAUGUAAAGGCAAAUGGUUAAAAUAAGUACUUUUGGGGCCAAACAGUGCUGUUACUCAUUCCUGCCACUGACAACAUGCAUCAGUUUAUCAAAGUAUUGCAAAGUAUACUUUAAAGGGAUAGUUCACCCAAAAAUGAAAAUUCUCUCAUCAUUUACUCACCCUCAUGCCAUCCCAGAUGUGUAUGACUUUCUUCCAUAGAACACAAAUGAAGAUUUUCAGAAGAAUAUUUCAGCUCUGUAGGUCCAUACAAGGCAAAUGAAUGGGUGCCAAAUUUUUACGCUCCAAAAAGCACAUAAAGGCAGCAUAAAAGGAAUCCGUAAGACUCCAGUUGUUAAAUCAAUUUCUUCAGAAGUGAUAUGAUAGGUGUGGGUGAGAAACAGAUCAAUAUUAAAGUCCAUUUUUGCUAGAAAUUCUCCUCCCUGCCCAGUAGGUGGUGAUAUGCAUGAAGAAUUUGAAUCACCAAAAACACAAGAAGAAGACUGUGAAAGUUAAAGUGGAGAUUGACUGAGCAGGUAGGAGAACUUAUGGUAAAGAUUUACUAAAAUACUGAUCUGUUUCUCACGCACAACUAUCAAAUCGCUUCUGAAGACAUUGAUUUAACCACUGGAGUUGUAUGGAUUACUUUUAAGCUGACCUAUGUGAUUUUUGGCACUACAAAGGUCACCAUUCACUUGCAUUGUAUGAACCUAAAGAGCUGAAAUAUUCUGCAUGAAACAUGAAAGUUCUGCAGAAGAAAGUCAUACACAUCCGGGAUGGCACAAUGGCAGAAUUUUCAUUUUUUGGGUGAACAAUUCCUUUAAAUGUUCUAUAGUACAAUCUACAGGUUGUCUAAUCAGUCAAUCAUUGUCAGUAUCAGUCAAUCAAAAGGGAGGCGAAGAACAGCAGACCUAAUAAAAUUACAAACUGAAUUUA